UGCACAUCAGUAAGAGCGCUCUCCUUGGUGGUGUAAAAUGACCCUUUUUGGUUGAAUUUGAAAAUGAUAUAUAGUGAUGGAAACUUAAGAAGCACAUUGAAUGGACACAAUAUGACAUUAGAAGAUGAAAUUUAGCGGUGAGGUCUACUUUCGCCGUCGCGAUACACUGUCAACAUGCUGUGUGUACAUCUUCACGGUGGAGGAACGUCUCAGGUGGCCUUACUGUCUCAAGCGAUGCUCCUACUGCAACUUUAACAAGUACAUCCCUAAAGACGACAAUAGCCACAUAGUGACCCAGUGUCUUCAGCAGGAGAUGGAGACACUACUGCAGCUCAGUCAAGUGUCCUGCAUCACUUCUGUGUUCUUUGGCGGCGGGACCCCAAGCCUGGCGCACCCCUCCACUGUCUCUGCCGUGCUGGAGACGGUCUCCAGGCGUGUGGGUCUUGCGGAUGAGGCUGAGGUCACACUGGAGGUCAAUCCGACUCCUGAGGGGAGGUCAAAGUUGAAGGAUUUUAGCCAAGCAGGGGUGAACCGUUUCUCUAUUGGGGUGCAGUCUUUGCAGGAUGACGAAUUAAAACUGCUCGGCCGAGACCACACUUCUCAUCAGGCUUUGCAGACCAUCGAGGAAGCUCACAGGCUGCGCCCGGGGAGAGUGUCGGUGGACGUCAUGUUCGGCCGCCCCAACCAGACCGUGCAAUCCUGGGAGACAGAGUUAUCCGAGCUGCUGAUGCUGUGCGAUGACCACGUGUCCCUCUACCAGCUGACCCCGGAGCGAGGCACCUUACUCUUCAAACAAUUACAAGGCGGCGAGUUGGCGUUGCCCAGCGACCAUGAGAUGGCGGAGAUGUACGAAAGCGCCAGGGGGACGCUCUUGCGGCACGGCUUCGAGCAGUAUGAGGUGUCAAACUUUGCCAGACAUAGUGCAGCGAGUCAUCACAACAUGAACUACUGGAAGGGAAGACAAUACAUCGGUGUUGGUCCAGGAGCACAUGGCCGCUUUGUUCCUCUGGGUGAGGGACGCAUCCACCGAGAGGCCCGCACCCAGACGCUGGAGCCCGACGUAUGGAUCCGUGAGGUCCGGCAGCGAGGACAUGGGACGAGGAGAAGGAUUCAUCUCGGACGCCUUGAACUACUGGAGGAGGCGUUGGUGAUGGGAUUGAGGAUGACAGAGGGCAUCACUCACAAGCACUGGCAGCUAUUCAGUCCACAGCUGACCCUCCGUGACAUCUUUGGCUCAUCUGUUGACGUCCAAGACUUCUUCCACAGAGGCCAUCUGAUCCUUGAUGACAGAGGUUUGCGCUGCUCCUGGGAUGGUUUGUCCUUACUAGACAGCAUGCUGCCCACUCUGCUGCUGGAACUGGAGAGACAAAUCCCUCCGACAGCUCAGCAAGGACCAACAGUGCAGUGCUCCAAGUCAUGAUGGUAGUGAUCACAAACACCUCUAUUAAGAAUCCAUUCAUUCAAAUGAACUUUAUUCAAAUUGGAGUGCAAUGACGGUUCAACAUAAUCGUCACUGGCACCUUCAGAGGAACGGGAAUAUUAUCAACACGUUCUACUGUCUCAGUGAGAAUGUGUGUGUGUGCCAGCAGCCGUCAUGACGUGCAUGCUGAUGAUUUAAUUAUGUCCGAGAAAAACGUGCAGAGACACUUAUUAAAAGGUCAAGACUGGAUGAGUAUGAGCGCCAUUUUCUCACGUUUAAUAGAUGCCAUCUGCCAGCUCUGAACACAGCAAAACAUAUCGUAAUAUGGAUCUCCAUUUAAAACCGUUUUUUUUAAAUAAAAUUUAAAAAUACCAAAAAGAAAGACAUGCUUUUUGAAACAGUAGGCGAGCAUUCAAUAGCCAAGUCAUAUUUUAUUUAACGAGUGGUUAGCACUCUGGUUGGAGUGCAUGCAGUGAUUUUUAUUGCAUGUAUUGUUCAUCUUAAAGGGAUAGUUCGGGUCUUUUGACAUGAAGUUGUAUGACAUCCCAAUCAGCAGUGUAGUGCAUCAAAGGUGACUUACCCCCCACUUUGUCCCGUCAGUCCGGUUCUGGUCGGAUUUCGGUGUUAAGGAACAUAGUUGCUGGGGUUACUUAAGUAAAGACUUUGGCUUCUCCAAACAAUAUGCGUUCAAGAGAGUCAUCACAAAAUGCAUCCUCGGAAAAAUCUGACCUCACAAAUUCCUCGGCGAUGCUCAUCACAUACACAACAAUGGACAGGCGGUAACGCGCAUUGAUACGACGGGAGAAAAAGUAACGCAGAGUGAUUUGUGAGGUCUGAUUUGUUUUCAAGGAGGCAUUUUAGUGACGUAAAUGUAUUACUCUUUUGAACACAUGUUGUUUUGAGAAGCCAAGCUCCUUACUUAAAAGGCCCCAGGAACUAACCAGAACUAAUCCGACCAGAACUGGGCUCACUGGACCAAGUGGGGGUAAGUCACUAUUGAUGCACUACACUGCACUGCAUCAUACUGAGAGUUGUUUCUAAUAUUUGGUUACCUGGAGCUGGUUGUAUAUAGAGAUCCUUUUCUUUGUAGUACCUUAUCCAUCUAUGAGAGCCUUCCCAAAGAUAAUCCUGUUUGGUAUUGAGUGACAUUGCUCAAGAGGAAAUGUGAUUGUAUAUUAUGGUGGUUGCAGUGGUAUUCCUAAUGUUUUGCCCAUUUCAUGAAGGCAAUAAUAGUAUAAACACCUCAGUUUACACAGGAAGUAGCUCCUCUCUUGAGUGUUAAUAAAAACUGGGCAUUAUUGUCUUUCUAAAGGCAGAAUGUUUGCUACCUCUCUUGUAUUUGAUAUCAUUAGGUGUACCUAAUGAAGCGGCCAGUGCUGACUAACACACUCGCACAGUCCAGUGUCACACCUCCUCCGUAGUACUCUUUGCAUGUGUGGGCGCCACAGUCUAUGUGGCAUCUGACAAUACAAGGAGAUGCUUGAGGUCUUUGUCUGAGUCACCUCUUUCUCUGUAUCCUACUCACACACACUUGAUGAGGUAUUUUUGCAUCACAGCCUGGAAACAGCUGACUGCUUACGAGCUGGAUCUUUAUAUGGAGCACACGUCAGCAAUGAUAUAUUCAGACGACCCACAGCUAGAAAGUUUUAUUAUAACACCGUGAUUAUGUGACGUGUAUACAAAAGUAGGAAUGCACUGGUCCAGCCAGGUGCUACAGAGUAUAACUCCUUACAUAAUACAACAUUGCAGCGUACUACUGCAAUUGGUUUCUUUGGAGAGGUUAUCACAAUUCAUUGAAUGUGACACCUCUCGGGUUUGUUGGCUUUGGUGCUUGAUCCAAGCACCAGUUGCAGGUCGCUGCCGAAGCUCGGCCGACGCACCAAGGAAUCCACGACGGCACAGGGCGUGCGGCUCCGCCUGCGGCCCCGCUGGUUCACACACAGCGACUGGUAGGCGACCAUUGAGACCAGCUGAUGCCUUGACGGGCUGGUCUCGUCGGGCAGGCCGCCCAUGACGGCCAGUUCCUUGAACGCAACCUCCAGUCCGGUGCCGCACUUCGCCGAAGUUUCGACGAAUGUGACAUCCCGAGUGAGAGCCUCGGUGACCUCUGACCGGCUGACAGCUCUCUGAGCGGCCAGGUCAACUUUAUUUCCGCAAACCACCACUGGCAAUCUCGCCGGCUGUUUGACCUUCAGCAGCUUUGUCUUUGCAGCUUUGAUCUCGCUGAGGAGCUCACAAACUUCACUGAAGGACUCUCUGUCACACAGACUGAAGACCAGCAAGAAGAUGUCACCUGGGGAGAGAAGAGCAUUUCAUAUCCUUGAAAUGUGGCAGAAACCUCCUGAUCUCUUUUGUAACACUCAAGAAUGGAUUGAAGUCAAAGCAUCAGUGCAUAUCAUAGCAAUCCUCAGAUGCUGUGCAAAUAUGCCCCCUUGUGGCGAUGAGCAACAUAAGAAUAACUAAGGACAUUUAGGACAUGUGUUGUUCUGGAUGUCAUUAUAACAUCCUUGCUUUUAGUGUCAAUGCUUGAUUUUCAUGUCAAACAAGACUUAAAACGAUCUUGUGUCGCACAAGAGAAUGUCCGAGACGCUUCAGCAUACUUGACUUACAUUACAUUAACAACUAUUUACAAAGCAGUGCCGCAAAGCAUGCUGGGAAACAGGAAGACCUCCCAGCAACACUACAAUGUCAGUACUGUAUAUAAAUACGUACACUUUUAAAAUGUUCAAAAUGUAACAAUUCAUAUUUAAUUAUAUUUUUGUUGACACAGAACCAUGUAUUAUGUAAAUCUAAGCAAGUGACCAAUUUGGCACAAUAAAUGCCAAAACUCAGCAGUCACACAAUAAAAAAAAAUAUUAAAAAUGUUACUAUUUACACUUUUCAAUUAUUUAUAAAUGUAAUAAUAUCUCGUUUGUACUAAGAAUAAUAUUUGCAUUAUAUGUAUAAAUAUUUGAUAUAUACAUUAUUUUGCAUAACCAAGUGACCAAUCAUUUUACAAAAAUGAUUAAAUCUAAACCUAAAUGCAAUAAUGAUGUACUCUAAUUAAUACUACUACUACUACCAAUAAUAAUACAUCACCGUAAUUGUAAAAAUACAUAACACCAUUAUAUCCGGACAUUGUAGCAUUCACUCAAUAGUAAUUAAGGCUAAUACUACCAAUAAUAAUAUAAUAACUAAUGAUACCACUAUAUAUUUGCUUAGCGUUGGACAGUAAAUGUUCACCUGUCAGUAUGGAGAGUCUCCGUUUUGCCGGGAAGUUUCUCUCCAUGGAGGCGUCCAGGAGGUCUACUUGGUAGGUUUCCCCUCCAAUGUGGAACAACUUCCUGUGAAAGUCCUCUGCAGUGGGUUCAUGCUGCUCUUGGAAGUCUUCCCCCAAGAAGCGCCUGACCACGCUGGUUUUGCCCACCUGCGGUGCACCGAGCACCACUAUUCUGUGACAGUUCCUGGGCUUGAUCACGCCCAUGCUGCGGGUCACAUCUGCACACCUGUGGGGGAGCGGGUCACUGGAGACGCUCUCCACUGCUCUGUUGUCCUGCUGCCUCCAGCGCCCUUUGACUGUCUCCAGGAGACCCAUGCUUGUCUUUGACAACACCUUUGGGUGCUGCUGCUGGAGGACAGGCGUGGGGGUCGGGCUUUGUGACCGGUGAUGUCUAGUGAAGGUGUUGAACAUUUUGAGGACGCCAUCAACGGGAAGGUGAAACUUCUCGGUUGUGUUCAUCUUCGGCUUUUGUUCGGUGUUCGGUGCUAGACAUCGGCGUCAGAAUCUGUGAGCCUGCCUCUCUUGUCUCCCCAUGUGUGCACCGAGCUGAGCAGAGUGUGGUCUUUUUAUACACCCACACUGAACACACUUUUCUGCGUCAUCCAGGGAACACACUCCUUUUAUAGAAGCCCUCGUCCUCCAGUUUGAUUUGGGUCUGAUUAGUUCACACCUAAUGAGUGUUUGCAGUCUCGUUAUGGAUCAAUCGGGUGGACUGAGAUAAUUGCCCACACCCUUGUCGUCAUGGUUACGGGAAGGGCGAAGCAUCUUUGCUGUUGUCACAAUCUAAUGAGAUACAUUGUUUAGUUCACUAACAUAUUAGAAACAUCUCUCACUGUGAUGCAGGGUGCACACAAAGCUACACCGCAAUACCAAACAGUGCAGGUGGAAUGAUGUGGCAUAAAAAUCAAUUUGUGCUCUGCAGUGAUCACGACUUGCAGAGAAACAGCUCACUCUCUGCUCUAUGAUUCACCAGAUACGAUAAGGAGGUUUUUUUCCACAGCGUCAGUGUGCAACAACAUCAAUUAUUUAUGACAUCAAAAGGCUGUAGUGUUUGUUUCUUUGUCGUUUUGGAUACUUGUACCUCAGGAAAAAAAAAGAGGGAAGACCAUAAGGAAAGGCCACGCGUGGUUGAAAAAUGUAAUUUUCAUUUCGACAAGGUGCAGCCUGCUAGAAGUGCAGUAUUGUUUGUUUGUUGGCAAGCAUCUCUGGUCAUUUUCAUGCUCAGCCAUUAGCCAUUAUUAUCCUUUUAGCUACAUGCUAUUUACAUUAGCGUCAUCUUAUGUUUACGCAUGUGAUAGUUAAUGUUAGGUGUGUCGAAUGAAAGGAUUAAAUGCAAUUCAUGAAUUACAGUCAUCACGUAAUCUCAUUUUUAAUCUCUGAUUUAACAGUGUCUGUAUGCGCGUUGCCAUUUUGUAUAAUCGUUUUUAUGCACCGGGCUUCUUGUGCUUGAGUUGUUGCGGGUGAAAAACAACAAUGUGUCCCAUCCAGAAUGGACAUUGAUGGGCUGUCAUUGUGGGACUGUAGUUUUAAAAACUCAAUAAUAUAAACUAAUUCCAUUUGUUCAAAAAUUUGACAAGUAACGUUACAUAAGAAUGAAAAAUAUUACAAAAUAUAGAAAUAGUUUUUUUUUAUUAUUUUUAUUUGUAAUAGCAGUCGAGUGAACAUGAGUGGGCACAUGCCAGUUUGGCCAUUAAGAUAAAUUAUUUAUAAUUCAUCCUUUUUAAAAUAUAUUGUCAUGUUUUAGGGUAGAAAUGGACUUGCAACUUGAAAUGUGAUUGUUCAAAUUUGAAAUUGGAAUUUUUUUUAAAACAAAAUAUAGCAUAUAAUGUCAGGGGGAUGCAAAUGGCACCAAACUGUAGGAAAUAACAGCCCCUCUCUUCAGUUAUCGCCUGCUUGUAAUGAACUUUUUGUGCUUGGGUAAAUAAACCACUCAGAUAUAAUUCCAUUAUGUUUGAUGCACAGCCUACAUAGGGCGUCACACACGGGACUAAUAGCUGACGGUUAAAGUGAGUGGGUACGUGGUCCAGAGUAAAUAUAGAAAAGCUGCGUUUUACCGGAGGUGAUGUGUCAUUUGUUCAUACAAGUCAGUGGAAUUUUAUUAAAGAAGGAUUAGUGAAGAUGUAUAACAAUGCUCACAGUAGCUCCUCCCCCAAAAAUGAUGAUUUAUCAGCCCAAGGCUCUGAGCCAAUUGGAAGGCGGCCAUUGUUCAUCCAGUAAUUCCACUGAAGUCAACUGUCUGUUCUAUUAAAACUUAUUAUGAUGGGACCUCCUCCCCAUCAGUGUCACACAAAAGCAUACCAAGUACUUGCAAUAUGUCACUGCAUAUUAUAUACACUAUAUAUAUACAUAUACAUAUACACACACAUACAAUACAGGCCAAAAGUUUGGAUACACACAACACAGUUGAUGGUCCACUAAUAAGGCAUGAAAUUCCACUAAGUAACCCUGACAAGGCACACCUGUGAAGUGAAAACCAUUUCAGGAAGCUCGUUGAGUGAACACCAAGAAAAAAGCAACAAAAAAAACUAAGACAUAAAAUCCAUCCAUCCAUUUUCUAUGCCCCUUCUCCUCAUUAGGGUUGCGGGGGCAUGCUGGAGGCUAUCCCAGCUGACUUCGGAUGACAGGCGGGGUACACCCUGGACUGGUCGCCAGCCAAUCGCAGGGCACAUAUAGACAAACAAACAUUCACACUCACAUUCACACCUAUGGACAAUUUACAGUCACCAAUUAACCUAACAUGCAUGUUUUUGGAAUGUGGGAGGAAACACAGAACGGGCAAACUCCACACAGAAAUGCCCAAGGGAGAAUCAAUCCCAGGUCUUCCCAAUCUCCAGACUGUGACUGUGGCCAACAUGCUAACCACUAGACCACCGUUAGGCCCAAGACAUGACAUAACAUAACAUAACAUAUCUGUCUAAAAUAUAAGACAUACACUAUUUAGAGUUAUUUCACACUUUUUUUUUUUGUACAUAAUUCCACGUGUGUUCAUUCAUACUUUUGAGAAUCUCAAAUGUAAAUAGUCAUGCAAAUGAAGAAAACUCAUUGAAUGAGAGGGCGUGUCCAAACUUUUGGCCUGUAAAGUAUCUUUUUAUGCACAACUCCUUUUAUACUAUUUCUAGAUAAGGUGUUAGCUUUGCUGAGGUUUUUUUGUUUUUUUGACACUUUAAGGCUCAAAAUACCGCUCUGUGAUGGCAAUACAUUUUUGUCUAAUUGUGUUGUUUUUAUCUAAAUGGAUUAUAAUGUUUAAUAUCGGGCAAAGACAAUAAAACUGCACACGUGCACCGUUUUAUUGUCAGUUUUCUUCAAAUUUCCAAAAUAACAUUUUUUGCUACAUUUAUUUGCAAAUGUCAAGUACAGUAUUGUGGUCAUGCUUCAUAGUGUCAUAUUUUAGACUGACGAGGAUAUGGUGACUUUUACAUAACAUGCACUUGAACGCAAUUCUGCUGCAAGUCGACAGCAUUACCGUUUACGGCCACGAGAGGGCAGCAAAGAAACAGGAGCGACAUGGGAGUGGGGUUUUAAGCGUAACCACAAAAAUCACAUUACAAAAAAAAAGGAAAAACUUGCUUCUCGCGCACUUUCUCCUCCCCUUUUGUCUGCACACCCCUCCCUCGCCUUCCUUGUACUGACCUCAGCAGGGCUUUUGUUGGGAAACAAAGAAUGCUCAGGCAUCUGUUUUCAGAAGAAAUAAAAGACGCGGGGCGCCAAGACAGAUGGAGGGAGUGUCGGGGACCAGAGCUAUGAAGUUGAGCUCGACUGACCUGAUCAGUGAGAGUCAAAAUGCAACACACACACUUUGCACCACAAAAAAGCUCGUAUAGGGCCGCCACACUACUCAUUUUAAUAUCACAACAAAACGAUCUCUGCUUGUUUCUGCUACUUAAUAAUGUCUUUACCCCCAUUAAAGUUGUUGACAUUUGCAACGCUUGUGACUUUGUUUUGUCAAGGUGGAGCUGGUAUUUCCUGCAUAUCCUGCUCAGCCACGCACACUUGCCAGUCGCUCCUGUAACUGUUUCCGUCACUUGGCCCUAAAGCUUCAAACGCAGCUUGCAGAGAUGCCUAUGCACCACUAGGUUGAAUCCAAGCCGAAUGUACUGUAAGGUCCUGUAUAAUGCAUGAAGACGUGACUUCAGACAACGUGCCAUUAGUGAUAAUAAAUAAGUGAAGACUCCGUGAUGCUUCUGCUGAAAAAGGAAAUGAGGCUCUUAGCUGAACUCCCCUGUGGGAAAAAUCCCUGCUUCUUGGAAUGCAUUACGGCCAUAAUCUUUUAUAACAUCGUCAAAUCUAUGCCAUCUUUAUUUUUAUAGGUCCCAAAAACAAAGGGGGAUGCAGCUUGAGGCACGUCCGUCUGGAAUUUAGAGUAAUUGGAUUCUAGGUUUCUCUACAGCCACUCCCAGUCCUAUUCCCUGUUCCCGUCUGUACUUUGUUUCUAUAUUAUUAGUAUUUUUUGGUAUUAUUACUUGCAAUAAUUGCCUGAAAUGUGCAUGUACACACACACACAAGCUAUAACGUUUAUUUAUUGGGUGUAUUAAGAGCCAAAGCAUUAUAGAUUUCCUAUAAAAGGGCUAAUAUUAUGAUUUUAUUAUUAUGUAUCAUUAUCACUUGUGACCUAAAGCAGGACUUAUUGGGGGCAAUAUUCUAAAGUCCUCCAAAGGCGAAAAAUGUUGUAUUAUCAGCAUUUGCGGGGUUUUAGAACACUUCCACUGAGGCUUGAUUUUUUUUUUCGAAUCAAAUGAAGUCGUGGUCCGUCUAUGGCCCACCUGACCUAGGUCACUCACCCCUGGCCUAAAGAUUUACUCUUUCAAGCCACAACAUUAUGUGUAAAUAUAAUCAAUAAAUACAUACAGUAUGUCCAAACUUUUUUCUGCGAGGGCCACUUUGAUACAUUUUGUACUAAAACCAAUCUGUAGGUCAAUCUAUGCUAUGAUAUCUGAACAAAACAGUGACAUUUUACCUAAUAUGCCAAGGGCCAAAAAUGGCUGAAAAUAGUCCCCAGGCUGCACUUUGGACACUCCUGACUUAUGUGUAAAUACACCGAUGCUUAGACAUCACCUUUUAGUUACACCAGAAACAGUAUAUAGAAACAUUAUAAUGUCAGCAUGAUGCAAGACAUUCAAAAGUGAGCAUGAUAAAGUGUUGCUGUACCUAAUGCUAUGACCUGCAAGCAGUAUCUGUGUGUGUGUGUUGCAUGAGGUAGUGAAAGGGUUAAGUCUGACUCUGCAGGCACUAUGCAGGCCAGCCUCCCCCUCCUCCUCCUCCUCCUCCUCCUUCCACUUUGCUGUGUUUUCAGGACAGGAGGGGUGUCAGACCUGUCUUCUCGCAGCUCUGAUUCCCACAGAGAGUAGAGUUUGGGAUCUAUUUCUCCUCAGUUUGGAUCUAUAAAGCUAUUUCUGCACAUAGCCCGGUCGGGACAUGCCGAGAGGCGAAGGCACAUUUUGGUCUUCCUGCAGCAGCCAAAUCCUCCUCCUUCUCCUCUUCAUCAUCAAGUUGGGAGCCUGACCCUGCCAUAUCAUGAAGACAGAACACAGAAGCUGAGUCACGGUGAGAAAGUUCACCGUAUCGACCCGUUUGACGUAACGUCCUGGUCCAGAAAGGACACUCAUGGAAACCAUUGGACACACUAUAGGAGCCUCAACAGCCCACUAAUCAAUCAUAAUAAUACGCAGGAGGAAUUUUUACCCAUAUGGAUUUAAUUGUGUGACUUACACAGUAUGAGCUGGAGUACGUGUUUACACUGCUUUGUUUCUAUGAUACGUGUAAAUAAGGGUGUAGUGCAAAACCGCACCAUCCAAACCCAAAUGCUCUAAAAAUAAUCUCCUUGUUGACGUCACUGUGUGUGUUAUUAAUUGCUUUUAACGUGUAUGCAAUAGGCGAAGUAACAGGAAGUGCAUUACCUGAAACUCAGUGAUGUCACCACCCACAUGACCAAGAAAGAAUAAUGGGAGGUAACCGACUGGUGAACUCUUGGCGUGGGACUGUUUGUGGUUUAAUGUUGUUAUUUAUUUUUUAAAUGCCUGCAGUUUCAGGGGUUAAAGGUUGUUGGACAAAAUCGUUACAUGUCAAUGCACUAGCAAACAUUUGGUACACACCUGGGUAAUAUAAUUCCGUCAAAAUGCAAAAUUAUCGAAAAUAUCUUUCUUAGUCAAAAAAUAACUUUAAUAUCACUCGUUAGAUACUUACACCAUGGCAUAAGUGUAAAAUGGGUCGAAAAAAAUGUCGCGUUUUUCCGAGUUUACUAAUUAACAAGCUACUUCCGGGUUCAUGGCUGAUAGCCAUUGGCCCAUUUUUGCCAACGCCUCGGAAGUCGCUCGGUGACAUAAUCGGCUAAUUUGCAUAUUAUUUGCAUAUAAAGCACAUACUGGUAGGGAAAAAGCAGUAAUUUUUUAAUUACAUUUUUUACAAAAUGUGAGUAUGUCAUUUAGGACACUUUUUUAUGCUUUUGA